GAGCGGCCUCCGCCGAGUUCGGCCCGCCCACCAGGCGGCCGGAGCCGGGGACCCACCGACCUGGGGUGAAUCGGUCCGACCGCCCCGAGGGGCCAGGACCGUAGGGCAAACCUUCCGGAACCACCCGCCCGAACCCGACAGCUAACCCGGUAGGCGGAUGACGGAAGGAGUC
rnacentral:sRNA from 2 species